AAGAAAUUUAAUAAUUUUGAAAAUGGAUUUUUUUUGUUUUGGCAAGAGCAUGAGAGCUUUUACUGGGCAAGAAGACAAGAGAUGGAGAGUCCAGCCGGGCCUGCGCUUAAGUGCGCGGUCUUGCUAGGCCUUGUAAGUUUCUUUCUUGCUAUUCCAAACGGUGAGAGAUUUCUGUGCUUUUGUUAUAGGACAAUUAAAACCGUUUCAAUACAACACACUGUGGAGUUUUCAUAUCUUUGCAACUUUUUCUUUGGGCAUUCGAGCAAUCGGGGCCCAGAGGUAACAAACACAAACAAUUUUAUCUAUUCAUCAAAUUUUUGUCAAAAAACAAGAAUUUUCGUAACUGGAAAUUUUAAAAUAUUAAAAACUUUCAACAACGGAUCUCUUGGUUCUCGCAUCGAUGAAGAACGCAGCGAAAUGCGAUACGUAAUGUGAAUUGCAGAAUUCCGUGAAUCAUCGAAUCUUUGAACGCACAUUGCGCCCCUUGGUAUUCCAGGGGGCAUGCCUGUUUGAGCGUCAUUUCCUUCUCAAACAUUCUGUUUGGUAGUGAGUGAUACUCUUUGGAGUUAACUUGAAAUUGCUGGCCUUUUCAUUGGAUGUUUUUUUUUUUCCAAAGAGAGGUUUCUCUGCGUGCUUGAGGUAUAAUGCAAGUACGGUCGUUUUAGGUUUUACCAACUGCGGCUAAUCUUUUUUAUACUGAGCGUAUUGGAACGUUAUCGAUAAGAAGAGAGCGUCUAGGCGAACAAUGUUCUUAAAGUU
rnacentral:misc_RNA from 1 species